AUGAACUCUUAUGCUGUACUAAUGUUUCAACCAAAGAAGGGAUUCAUCUUGCAUUGGUGGAGCUGCUGAAAAAUUUAACCAAGUGCUUGAAGUUUCUGGGAAGUCGGCAUCCAACCCUGGUGCUUCCCUUGGUGCCAGAGCUUCUGAGCACCCACCCAUUUUUUGACACAGCUGAACCAGACAUGGAUGAUCCAGCUUAUAUUGCAGUUUUGGUACUUAUUUUCAAUGCUGCUAAAACCUGUCCAACAAUGCCAGCAUUGUUCUCAGAUCACACCUUCAGGCACUAUGCCUACCUCCGAGACAAUUAUGGAAGAGACCUACAAAAUGGAAUUCAUGUACAGUGGUGUGGAGAAUAAGCAGGUGGUGAUUAUACAUCACAUGAGGCUGCAGGCCAAAGCUUUG
rnacentral:ncRNA from 2 species